ensembl:lncRNA
CCUCCCCCACCUCCGUUGACUUGCCCAUCGCCCAUGAUUUUACUGGCCGGGCCUGGAGAUCAAAGCAGACAGCAUGUGGCCCCUUACUUAAAAUUAGUUAGACACCCCUGGUCUUUACAGUCAGGCCCCUGACAUUUCCUGGCUUUUUAGGGGCGUAUCAACUUCCUGCACAAGAAAUGAGGUCAAAUUUCAAAACUGACCAGAACGCCAGUCGGGGUUUCACAAAAGUCAAACAGAGAACCAGAACAUAUGAGUGUUUGUUAGAACAACUUAGUGUGUCCAUUUAGUCAGGAACACAAUGGGUGUGACUUUACAGUCCUACAUAAUAAAAGCAGAUAAAACUUGCCCAGAGAGGGAUUUUAUGGUUUUUCCAAAAUCUCCGUGGAUUAUUUGAAUUUCCAGCAGCAACAGACAAAUAUUAUUCACCUUUAGCUUUCUUGAUAAAAGAGGAGCAUUUAUUUUUUAUUUUUCUAAACAGAAGCCAGUCAGUGGCAGAACCUGUUCCUGCCCUACGCCCAAGCCAGGUUUCAGGAAUCAGAAAUCAGGAACAUGUAUUGGUAACAUAUGUUAGACAUACAACAAAUUUGACUUGGCGGUUGGUGCAUAACAUCAGACCAGGACAACAUAGUGCAAGAACAAGAAAAUGUUUAAGAAUCCUCCUAUCAAUAAUAAAUGGUUUUAAUUGAUAGUUCCCAACCCCAUUCCAGCCUGAUGGUGUGUAUCCAUAUGCUGCUACAGAGAUCAUUCUGAGGGGUCACAAGACGGGUAACAUGAUUUUAUUUUAAGAUACAUAGACAUAACAACAAGAGAACGACACAUUAGUGAAGUACAAACCAACAAACGUGUAGUCAGGAUAUGGGAGAAUGACGUCUACACAUCUACCAGCUCUGACUGGGGGAUCCCAAGGCGUUCCCAGGCCACUGCAGAGAUAUCAUCUCUCCACGUAGUCCUGGGUCUUCCCCCAGGGCCUCUUCCCAGCUGGACGUGCAUGGAACACCUCCCUAUAGGGAGGAGCCCAGGGGGCAUCCUCACCAGAUGAAGUGAAUGCAAUAUGAAUGAAACACAAUGUAGAGUCAUGUAAAUCAUUUAAACACUGUACACAUUGACAUUCUGUCACAUUGUGAUGUUAAAACCUGGGGACGGAUGCUAGUCCCAAUUUUAUCCCCAAAGAGGGUUUUUUGGGAGUUUUUUCUCCUGUCAGGUAGUGGAUGAGCAACUGAAUGUAAGACAGCCGAUUGAGGCAAAUGUCUUGAGUGUUGGACCACAUGAACUGUCUUAGAUCUUAUGAUGUAGUGCGAUGAACUGUGAUCAUUAACGAUGUGUUGUAAUUAAAGUGUACUAGUUAUAAGAUGAAGACAAACCAUGCAUUCUUUGUUACAUUCACUCAUUGAGGCAUAAAGCCAACUGUAUCUACAUUGAAUGCAUUGGAAUGUGAGGGACAGAUAGGACGGAAAGGUCUCAGGUUACAGCUGCAGCUUCACACCUCGAUGUGAAGGGGACAGUCCAUGAGGAGACACGUUUGAAGGAGACGCCAAUGACAUUCAGAUGCACCCAAGAAGACACACCUCAGGAGUUUUAAAAAGACCAAAGUGGGGAAAGGACUGUUACAAUUCUCCUGCUGCCGCUUUGAUAAGUCACUUUAGACUUAGUGAGGGAAUUCUCUAUUUUGAGAAAUAUUUCAUUGUUCGCAUUGUAUUUCACUUUGUAACUGUAUUCCUCAUCACUUUGUUUAGUUAUUAAAUACUUUUUGAUUUUUACAUUUGAGCAAGUUGACUCUUUUGGUUCAUCGUUUCCGGCCGGGACGAGAACAAAGGAGCGAGGCCUCCUUCGAAGGGCUUUCCCAACCCUUUAACAGAAGCAUUGAAGCUUCUUUCCUUAGCAUUAGAUUGUUCAAACAGCUCUUAUCAUGGCGGCCACUUACACGACCGGGUCAUUUCACUCAGUUUGGAACCGUCCAUACCAAACCUGACCAUUGAAAUCCUGCUGACUAAUGAUCCUGCCUGCAGCUACCAGACAAGAGUGAGCGUGGCUGAUUGGCGCCAUGGUGGAUAAGAGGCUGGGGAAGAAAGGGCCUUGGAUUAGCAUGCGUGUGCGCGUGAGCGAAAAAUGUAAAUUUACUAUACAGGGGUUUCCCCCCCUGGCUAACGUAACUUCCUACUUGGUCUCAUUAAUUUUACAUCACGCAAUUCUAAGUCUCAUAUCAUAAAACCCUGAUUCUGAAGACAUUGAUAUGGCACGCAGUUCGGGCCGACGAGGAUUCCAUUUUUCCAGGACAAAGGCAGGUGAGCCGACGGCGGCUGAAGACGAGACCUUUGCUGUCCUUGCCCCCGAAAUGGUGGAACGAGCAGAGAGCCUUCACACCUUCCCGCCGCAAAACUAAAGACACACCUCUUCAGAAUAUUAAUAAACUAUAUAUAUCACUAUCUAAAAAUGGCAUGUAGUGUAAUGCAAUGUAAGUUCAAUUGGUUUCCCGUUGUCCUUUGUGUCUUUCCCUUGAUUUCAUUUGACUUGCCACAAGAUGGCAGCCAAGGAUCACGAUGAUCACAGCUCCUCAGCUGGAGUGUGAAGGGAGAAGGAGCACAAGGAAUUCAUCCAUUCCAAAUUUUGAUUUAUUUGAAACUUUUUUUAGAUGAAUAGUCAAUGGAAUUCCUCCGUUAAUUUCCUGUUUAAAUCUAUAUGAGGAAAAUGUCAAUGGUUCUUUGGAUGUUUAUCAGUCAGAUCCUCCAUACAACGUUAGAUGGCUAAUAUUCUGUAUCUUGUUUGGCAGACCCUCUGUGGGUUUGUCACUACAAGUUAGUUAUGUCUUUAGGUUCCCUCUAAUUAUCAGAUAUGUACAUAUAACUAUAAUGAGCUAAGUCCUUAUAUAUGUGACAAGGAAUGCUCUACUUACAAUUGCAAUUGUACUUUUGUAUUUAUUAAUUUAUAUUGUAUACACCACGGCUAUUCAGGUACAUCUUUAAUUAACAUGGGCCAGGAAAUGAAGAUGGGCUAUGUUCAGUAGUUUGAAACACUUUUUUUGUUUUGCUCUUGACAAUGACGAAUUAAAAAAAAAAAAAAAGUAGCAAAACAGUAAUUUAGUGAAUUUGUAAUGUUUAGUGACAAGGGAGGUGUGUGUGAAGCCACACUGCUUUCACGGGGGAUCGCACAACAUAUGGAGCCCUCCCUCCUUUUAGCGGUCCAAUCAAAUGCUAGUCAUUGGUUUUAAACUCCCACGUAAAUGUGAGUUGCUCAAAUAUACAGACCUACAGACUAUUCCUCUUACUGGAGACCUCGAGGCUUUAGAUGCAUUACUUGUAAUUGUACUGUUGACUUGGAAGGAAAGCUUUUGGAUCGUAGUUUUGCUGACGUUCUCAGAUUAUUUCAUGUGAGGAGUGUUGCGUUAACGCCUCGUUCGGUAUCGCUGUUCGCAGUAUGCAAUUAAGGAUCCGCACUGUUCUGUGUGCUUGCGGACCAGGUCAGUGUGUAAUUGUUGUUCUUACAUAGAUGGAAGCUCUCUCUCUCUCUAUAAUUACUGCAUACUAAAGCUUUACAUUCGAUAAAUGUCAGGUUGAGUGCUGGCAGGUUGAGAGGCUCAUUCUUUUCACCAUCUAUCAGAUAAUAUCAUAAAGACGUUGCAUUGUUGACAACGAGAUGGACAGAAAGGAGAGAAGAGGAGCUGCCCUCAGGUUGUCUGUAAUUACUGCUCAGACAUGUUGACAGUAUAAUCUAAGUGUGUGUGUGUGUGUGUCAACAUAUCCAUCCCAAUGUUUUAUUAAUGUAUGUGGAAUUCUUAAUCGCUCAACACUUGGCCUGAACAUGCAUCGAGGAACUAGAAACCCUCUAUACAUUGCACCAGAAACAUUUUGGUCUGAGAUAGGGGGGCGCAUAUGGAACCAGAGUACAAGCGCAUCUGGUACUUCUAUAUCACGGUUCUUACUUCUUACUUGCGUACAUGUCCAUAAAAUGCAAGCUGUUUUGUUUAAUCCCACUUAUCGUUUGUAAUUUUUACAUUUAAUGUCCAUCUGUCGGUUUGCCAAUCCUUCCAUCCGUCUUGUUCCAGACGUCCCUCUGGACCAAAGACUUUCCCAGGCCAGGAGAGACAUAGAAUUCUUCCAGUAUGUACUGGAUCUAACCAGGGCCCUCGUACGAGUUGAAGAUGCCUGGAAAACAUCUUAAGAAAAGGGCCGUGCAGCAGUCACCUGAAUCAUUUUACAGAAAUAGUCAUUCAGUUACCUUAAGGGGAUGUGACAUGAGAAACUUCCCUUUUUAGUGCAUGUUCGCAAACUUCUGAGCAUGUGCCGUGGCUACCAGCUCAUACACAGGGAAAUAAGACAACCCAGUGCUAUGAUUUAACAAGACAUUCAUUGGAAUAUACCACAUAUAUUGUUUAUUUUGAUUGUUGUCAUGAUUGGUGUUGGGAUAGACCCAAGAUCCGAAUACUGAUGGGACAAGGAGCAGUUCAAAGUGGAGCAGAGGUGGAAAUGGCAUAGGUCUGGGUUGACUGGGGGCUGGAGUGGUGUUGGAAGGUAGCUGGGUGACAGGCCGGUGAUCCUUGCAGAGAUGGUAGAUCUGAGGCAAUCUCAGCCAAAACAAGGGUUGAACAAAGUCACAGGUAAACAAGUAACUGACGCUCGUGGCGUGAGGUCAAGUUGGGGUUUUUCUUGUCUCCAUGUUUUGUCACGUCAUUUCCUGUUUUAUUUUGAAAGAUUUUAGGUCACUUGCCCUUCCUCAUGUGUCACCAGUCAGAUUGUCUUCCCUGAUUCCUGAUUGUGUCCACCGGUUUCCCAUAACCCUCAUGUGUCUUAUAGUCUACGUCCCCCUUUGUCUUGAGUGUCUAUUCGUCUACCCAAGCCACCACAGACGCAGUGUGCCUUGUCUCGCCUCCUUACGAGGGAAUUUUUAUGGGUUUCCUAUAGUUUUUUUUUUAUAUAGCUGCUUAUUUUAUCGCCCAGUGUGGGAGAGCCUAAUAAAGACGGCCUAUUCUGUUCACCCUUCUGCCCCGGAGUCCUCUGUUAAGUCCGGGUCUGACACGUGGACCGUCACAUUGCCGUGUGCAGGACUGAUCAUUUGACCACGAGAGGGUGAGCAGCUGGGGUUUAAAUAGUUAAACUGGAGACGGGCGUGAGGGAAAACAGGUGGGGAAGUGAUGAGAGGUGUCUGUGGUCUACAAAAUAAAAACGCGUCAGCUAAAUGACAUGUAAUGUAAUGUAAUGUCAUAAAACCAGCCUCAUGGCCCGGGAAAAUAAAAACGUCCGUGGACAUGACCCUAGCUGAAAACCGCUUCAUCUGCAAAAGUUUGGAUCUGCUCGUUGUGUUCACCCCCAACAAUCCAGCUCCUGACGGGUCGGUGAUCAACGCACUGGCCGGACCGAUCGCUCAAAGCCAGGAGCUUGAGGAAAACUAAGACGUUAACAAUCGUCCCACCAACAGAUUUGACAGUAUUGUAUUGGCAAUCUUAGGUUUGCUGCCCCUUUAGCUGGCUUCUUGUUGUUCUUUGCCAUCAGGCACAGGUGGGAGUGAUGUUUCGACGCAGACACACAAAAGAUUUUCCAGUGAUGAUUUUAGUUGAGGUUUGUAAUUUAUUGCAGGCAAUUGUAUAAACAGAUGAACAUACCGGUUGAACGUGCUCCUAUUGAUGGUGGUCUGUCUUCGUGGUCUGGUGAGAACUGUCUGGUGCUCCCCUACCUGUGCCUCGCUUCCUGUCACCUACGUCCCUUAUGUACACCCAGGUGCACCUAAUCACCGCCACCUAGUGUCCAAAGUGUCAAUAUAAAUACGGUGUAACAAACAAAAUAUACUUUGCCAACAACAACACAUAAUGGCUCCUACACACCGGCCCCUAAUUGUCUUUUAUAACAAUUACCAAAAAAUAAUAAGGGAAUGUGUUGGCAAUUAAUUCUCUUCACUGAUUCUUCGGUCUUCUUUUGAAGUAGUCAUUUUUAGGGCCCGGGGCUCCAAAACUUGGAACCUGGUGGUAUCUGGUCCUUACCACCAGGCCUUACUAAAUCUCAGUUUCUUUAAUCAGACAUAUCUUCGUUAUUGGUCUUUCCAAUAUGUUGGUUUUUGUCUGAAGUCGGACGGUACGCACAAGGCCUUGUGCAUCUGCUUUCGUCUCCAGUAUUCUACCCAUUAACCAGGAGCCUCGUGGUGCAGUGGAGUCGACCACCACAACUAUGUCACCUGGGGCGAAGUUCCUUUUUACCUUUGACCACCGCUGUCGUUCUUGAAUUAAUGGUAAGUACUCCUGUGUCCACCUUUUCCAGAAGAGAUCUGCCAUGUAUUGUACUUGUCUCCAUCUGCGCCUUAGAUACAAGUCCUCUCUUACGAAGAGUCCAGGUGGUAGUAUCGGCUUGGUUUUCAACAGAAGGAGGUGGUUUGGGGUGAGUGCUUCCAGGUCCAUUGGGUC